rnacentral:lncRNA from 1 species
CACCCAGGCGCUGAGAGACAGCAGCGCUACUCGCUGCGCCACCGUGCCGCCCAAUUUAUUAACCGCUCUGGGUAAGUACUGUACUAGAGCAGGAGGGGGACUCGAACCCUGGUCCUCCAGAAUUAACCGUGUGUGGAUGAAACCGGGCUGGUAACACUACAUAGUGUCCAUCGGAAGUCCCUUUGGAGAAAAGCGUCUGCUAAAUAAGUAAAUGUAAAUAUAUGAAACGGCAAUGAUAAACCCCACAUGUGUGUGAUGCUCAGAUGUACUCACUUUCAACGAUUCCUACAACAACAGCAGGGAACCCGGGACCUUCCGGUGGACGGCGGUGCCGUGAACCACUUCGCCACCCAGGGGCAUCUGAAGGGAACAACACUGCAGUCGCGUACAGAAGCGUACCACAGUCCUCGCCGAGCCUCCCCCCGCACCCACCCACCGUGUCCAAAUCCUGACCGGCCGCAAAGUCAAUCACGCCCACAAUUCAGCCAAGACGCGCACAGGUUUGGAGAGGAAAGGAGAUGGUCCAUGCUGAGGCACAACCACACAAUGGUCAGUUCUCACUCAUCCUUCCUCCCACUCAUCAUGACAGGCAUCGAUGAGCAUCUCCCCCGCCAGUUUCCACGCGGGGCCACCAGGAGGUGGGUCCACCUCCACAUGGCAGGUGAGGUAAUCCCCCCCCCCCCGUGGUAUAGGUUCGAGGGUCACGGUUUCAUUUUAGAAGGUGUGUAACUUGGGAUGCGGCCAACGGAAGGGCAAGAGAGUAAGUGAGCCCUGUUUGCGGGUUCGAGACCAGGGGGCCCAAGCAGUUGGAACAAGAGGCUUGCAAACACACCCGUUUUCGCUCACAUUUCCAUCUUUAUUUACGUCGACAGCACUUUCCUCCCCGGUGAUAAUACCAACCAACCAAACAACUUCAAUGACCGCCUGUCCCGAACGGAGUCGCGGUGAGCCGAAGCCUAUCCCGGAGACACUGGGCGCAAGGCUGAAGGGGUGGGCACACCCUGGACGGGAUGCCAGUCCAUCGCAGUGACGCAACUAGGUACCCAGGCACACAGAUGGGCGAAGGCACCGGAGCAAUUGCAGGGCGAGCACCUCGCUCAAGGACACUACAGCCAGAGCCAGGGACGGAACGUCAAUCUGGGGAGCCAAAGGCAGCCACGCCAUCCACGACACCACCAGCUACCCUCUUCGGUGGUCAUGACCAUUUUUAUUUGAAAGACUUGCAGCACAACUGGGCUGCUGUGCUGAGGCUUGAAACGUGGGCAGCAGAUUCUUACACUUUUACACAUUCAUGCACUUAAGUGACAUUUUUCUCCAAUGUGACUUAGUGUGAGGUGGUGUACACCAAGCCAAAUACACUGAUUUACCACCCAGUACAAUUUAGCACUGGGGUUCAUGGGUGAUAUUUUCAACAUCCCAUAGAAAUGAAGGCACACUGGCACAAUUAAUAUUAUAGUUAUUAUCAUCAUCAUUAUUACAAAGCAAUAUUUGUGCAUAGAGUUUUUCAACAAUGGCUUUUCUGUAUCAAAAUUUGUCAAGCCAAUAAACCAUAAAACUGAAAACUGAGGGAGAGACA